AGUGAACGCUGGCGGUAGGCCUAACACAUGCAAGUCGAACGGCAGCACAGUAAGAGCUUGCUCUUACGGGUGGCGAGUGGCGGACGGGUGAGGAAUACAUCGGAAUCUACUUUUUCGUGGGGGAUAACGUAGGGAAACUUACGCUAAUACCGCAUACGACCUACGGGUGAAAGCAGGGGAUCUUCGGACCUUGCGCGAUUGAAUGAGCCGAUGUCGGAUUAGCUAGUUGGCGGGGUAAAGGCCCACCAAGGCAACGAUCCGUAGCUGGUCUGAGAGGAUGAUCAGCCACACUGGAACUGAGACACGGUCCAGACUCCUACGGGAGGCAGCAGUGGGGAAUAUUGGGCAAUGGGCGCAAGCCUGAUCCAGCCAUACCGCGUGGGUGAAGAAGGCCUUCGGGUUGUAAAGCCCUUUUGUUGGGAAAGAAAAGCAGCAGGUUAAUACCCCGCUGUUCUGACGGUACCCAAAGAAUAAGCACCGGCUAACUUCGUG
rnacentral:rRNA from 1 species